rnacentral:rRNA from 1 species
UACGUAGGGUGCAAGCGUUGUCCGGAAUUAUUGGGCGUAAAGGGCUCGUAGGCGGUCCGUCACGUCGGGAGUGAAAACUUGGGGCUUAACCCCAAGCCUGCUUCCGAUACGGGCGGACUAGAGGUAGGCAGGGGGAGAACGGAAUUCCUGGUGUAGCGGUGAAAUGCGCAGAUAUCAGGAGGAACACCGGUGGCGAAGGCGGUUCUCUGGGCCUUACCUGACGCUGAGGAGCGAAAGCAUGGGGAGCAAACAGG